rnacentral:rRNA from 1 species
AUUGAACGCUGGCGGCAUGCCUUACACAUGCAAGUCGAACGGCAGCGGGGGAGAAGCUUGCUUUUCCUGCCGGCGAGUGGCGAACGGGUGAGUAAUACAUCGGAACGUGCCCUGUAGUGGGGGAUAACUAGUCGAAAGAUUAGCUAAUACCGCAUACAACCUGAGGGUGAAAGUGGGGGACCGCAAGGCCUCAUGCUAUAGGAGCGGCCGAUGUCUGAUUAGCUAUUUGGUGGGGUAAAGGCCUACCAGGCGACGAUCAGUAGCUGGUCUGAAAGGACGAUCAGCCACACUGGGACUGAGACACGGCCCAGACUCCUACGGGAGGCAGCAGUGGGGAAUUUUGGACAAUGGGCGAAAGCCUGAUCCAGCAAUGCCGCGUGUGUGAAGAAGGCCUUCGGGUUGUAAAGCACUUUUGUCCGGAAAGAAAUGGCUCUGGUUAAUACCUGGGGUCGAUGACGGUACCGGAAGAAUAAGGACCGGCUAACUACGUGCCAGCCGCCGCGGUAAAAC